UUAUGCGAUUAACUGGUGUGAAUUGCAGAAUCCCGUGAACCAUCGAGUCUUUGAACGCAAGUUGCGCCCGAAGCCACUAGGCUGAGGGCACGUCUGCCUGGGUGUCA
rnacentral:rRNA from 1 species